GACGAACGCUGGCGGCGUGCUUAACACAUGCAAGUCGAACGGAAAGGCCCUGCUUGCAGGGUACUCGAGUGGCGAACGGGUGAGUAACACGUGGGUGAUCUGCCCUGCACUUCGGGAUAAGCCUGGGAAACUGGGUCUAAUACCGGAUAGGAGCCAUUUUUAGUGUGAUGGUUGGAAAGUAUUUUCGGUGUAGGAUGAGCUCGCGGCCUAUCAGCUUGUUGGUGGGGUAAUGGCCUACCAAGGCGACGACGGGUAGCCGGCCUGAGAGGGUGGACGGCCACAUUGAGACUGAGAUACGGCCCAGACUCCUACGGGAGGCAGCAGUGGGGAAGAUUGCACAAUGAGCGCAAGCCUGAUGCAGCGACGCCGCGUGGGGGAUAACGGCCUUCGGGUUGUAAACUCCUUUCGCUAGAGACGAAGCUUUUUGUGACGGUACCUAGAUAAGAAGCACCGGCUAACUACGUG
rnacentral:rRNA from 1 species